GCAAUUUCUUUUUGAUUCACGAAAAUUCUGGACGUCUGUAGGUAUACAUUAAAGACCAUUAAUAUGUAUUAUUAAGCAGAAGAAGAGAGGAAAGAGAUUAGUUGAAACUGCGUGGAAAUAAAUUUAAUUCAUAUUCAUUUGGAUGGGUCUUUCCCUACGGAGUAAUCGGAUAUAUGAAUUUUUAUUUCUGCACUUGGAUAUCCAAUUCAGACGCCUUCUGAUACCAUCUUCAAUGUCAAGAAAUAUCGCCUCUUUGUGCUUCACUCGGUGGAUCUCUACUUUAAUGCAAAGAUCGUUCAUUGUGUAGAUGCCCGUUUAGAUCAAGAUCUUCUACGGAAUCAUAGCAUACUUCUACAUAUAAGAACUAAGGGGUUCCAUGAAACGACAGAAUAAUCGACUGAAAGAUCCAGUGAGGAACAAAGAGUUCAUCCUCCAUCUAUAUCUCCUUCUUGAAAGUCAACUCUGCUUCGUCUCCUACUAAAUUAUUUCAUUAAUAAGAGUCUUGUGAUUCAUUGGAAAAUAAUUUUGUCUAAAGGACUCGAGGGAAAGAGUGGACGAUCAGUAGAAGAAGAGCAUCCUUUUUUCUUCUCUUUGCUGAUUAGCUUAAAGUUGUUAGCUGCCAUCAGGGCAAUUUUAAAGGCAAUACUUAUUAAUUACAAUAUAUUGUUCAUAACGGUAACGUGUAGUGCCGUGUAUUGUAAUAAUAUAUCAAAUUUGACUAAAAAGCUUCCUGGCUUAUCGCCCAAGAAAAUGUUGAAUUUUCCAAAAGACGGAAGUUGUGGAUCAAUGCCAUCAAACGUGCAAAUUGGAAUCCCACCAAAGACUCAAGAGUUUACCAAGGUCACUUUGAAGAAUCUAUGUUUCUGAGGAAGUCUAUAGAAGGACGGUGGAGUUUGGCACAUAAUGCAGUUCCUACUUUAUUUCAACAUGUUAAGAUAAAAAAACAAACGAAAACUUCCGUUUAACCGAAACAGAGACGCAGAAGAACUUCAAAAGAAGCAAAGGAUUCUAAUGUUAACCAUUCGUAUGCUAAAACACAUGGGACAUCAAAUAAGGAAUAGUAUCUUGACCACGAAGCUCAAAACCUAUUUUCAGACAUUUUUGUACAGGAAGCCCCUGAGAUUGGAGUUUUAACUUACGCUUUAAUUGUAUCAAUUUAUCAGUGGCAAAUUAAUCGUAAUCGGCAAAAAUACAGCAUCUUCAAGCGAAACUUACCAGGAACAAGGCUUUUAAUUAUGUCAACUAAGAAAGCCGUAGAAAGAUAUCGAAAAAGGUGGCAUCUGUAAAUGAUACAUUAGUAUAUUACUUUUAUCAUAUUUAUUGCUUUACUCUCAUUUUUGUCGCAAAACCUAUAUUGAAGGGUUCUUGAAUGACGAUCAAUUAAGAAGUUUGUGCAAGAAAGGAAAGAACUCUAGAAUCAAUUGGUAAAGUCCAACAGUUGAAAAAUCACUCAAAUGAAGCUAUGUCCUUUUUUAUGAAUUUAUAAUGGUGUAUUACACUUUUUGGAUUUGCUUGUGGUUCGUCAGGGUAUGAAUCUCUUCUUGAUCAAGGAUUUCCUUUACCCUCGCUGAGGACACCGCGCAGGAAAACGGAAGGUAUUUCAUUUGAAAGCGGUAUUUUGAAUGAUGUUUUUGACGUUCAAAAUAACAACCUUCAGUGAAAAAGAGAAAAAUUGUGUACUAUUGAUGGAUGAAAUGGUCAUCAAAAAGUCUUAAGACUAUGAUCAACGGCUAUACUGUCUAGUUACUCUUCCAGAGCACACAGCCGAAUACGCGACACAUAUUCUAGUGAUCAUAUUCGCUGGAAUUGCAAGUAGAUGGAAGCAAGUUGUUGGUUAUUUCUUUACUUAAGAUUUAGUUAAUGGAUCUGUACUUGGAAAAAUUACAAAGGAUGUCGUCAUAGGAGCUUCUGAAAUUGGUCUACGUGUAAGAUCAAUUACCACAGAUAUGGGCCCAUCAAACCAGGCAAUGUUCCGUUAGUAGGGAGUUAAUUUUGGAAGAAAAAAUGAAAUUGUCAACUUCGUCCCUCAUCCAGCAAAUCUGAAAGAAAAUUUAUACUUUCUUUAUGAGGUUCCUCAUCUUCUAAAAAAUCUUCUUGGAACAAUUUUAGUAAACAAUAUUCCAAAGCUUUCUGAAAGUGUCAUAGACCCCAGCCACUUUUCAAAAAUGAAUGUUGCUGAUGCAAUGACUUUUUUUUCCCGCAUGCAACAAGUGUGGGUCGGAGAUAUUCGAUAAUCCAGGAGUCUGAUGGGUCAAUCUUAUUAAUGACAGAAUUUAUUUUUUCAUCCAAUUAUCAAUAUGAUGGUGAAUAUCUAAUCGAUUUCUUAGAUGAUUUAAAAGAAGGAAGAAAUAAAUCUUACGAAGCGGAUAAUUCAUCUUUUCUUCAAGAACUAACUCCUCAGCUAGAAGAAGAUACUGUGUUGUCUGAACAUCAAACUAAUGUUUCUAUAUUAUAUUGUAGGCUAUAUUUUAAACCAAAUUAAGACAUUAAGACACACACUCUGUUUGUUCGGAUUGUCUUAGGUUUUGUUAUUUUGGACACUAAUGACCGUAUUUAAAACUCCUUGAUCUAUAAGAUUAUACCAGCCAAUCUUUAUUCUGCUGUACCAAGGAAAUCUUCGAAAGUAUAUUAAUUGCAGCCGAGAAGCGAUUUCACAACUUUAUUAUAACUAAAAAAAAAUGAUUUAAAAAAUAUAACAAAAAUCCUGCAAGAUAUAAUUGAAAAAGAUAUAACAAAUAUAUCAUUGUCAUAAUAUUAGUACAAAAAUUAUUAUAAAAAAUUGCCAUGUUUGCGUUAAAAUGUUCGCAAAACUUUCUCAAAAGAGACAAACAGAGGAAGGACGAAUGAGAAACAAUGUUCGGGCUAUCAAAAGUGCAAGUAUGCAUGAAAUUGUGCUACACAUUUCUUGAUAAUUGACCAAAUUUAAUUAUAUGUAUACUCUAUAUUUAUUUAAAAAAAUUAAAUUAUUUAAUAAAGAUAAUCAAAAAAA
rnacentral:lncRNA from 1 species